GACAAAUGAUAAAUAUAUUUUUUUUUCUUCAAUCUCUAUUCAAACACAAACUUUAAACUUUAACCGAGUUUUGAAUUUUAAAUUCUUUCUUUGGGAGAAAACGUGUUGGGUGUUUGAUGGUUUGGGAGGGACCAACUGUCAGUGAUCAUGUGAAUUUGCCUCAUCUUUUUUUUUUUUUCUUCUUUAUUUUAUUUUGAUGAGCCAUCACUGCCCCUGCUGUCAUUCUGUGUGUUAAGGAGUUGUUCAGCUGGUGUAUUGACAUCAAAGAAACUACACCUGUCACGUGACCACCAGUCUAUUAUAAGCCUCAUAUAUAUACAAUAGGUGAUGCACUGGAGAUAUAGUACACUCCAAAAGCAUUGCUUAUCUUUUAGGUGUCCUCAUUCCCUGCUCAAAUCAUAUAAAACAAAAAUAAAUCUCUUUCCCUUUAUAAGCAGGGAUAUACUAGGUAAAUAUGAACUAAUGUACUUAAUAGGUAUAUUUCUUUGGUGUAGAGGUCUUUUAGUUCCUUCACAAAAAAUUCCAACGCAAAGUACAAGAUAGUGAGAGAGAAAGAGAGAGAAGAUGGAAUUCCUUAAAUCCUAAAAUUAAGGCUUACUUAUAUCUAAAAGAUAUACAUCAAGGAGAUAAGAGGAGGGUAGAACGUAUUAAAGGCACCCGGCUCUUGAGUUACAUCAGAUGAAGGGAUGAUAGCAUUGAGAGGGGUAUAUAAUGACAGAGAGAAGAGAUAAGUGGACGGUUCUAAUUGGUUAAAUGCUGUAUCAUGUGACAGGAAUGUCUCUGCUCGCUGAGAUAUCUGGUGAUCUGUGAUUAACACGUCGGGAUCGAGAUGCCCGGAGUUCGGUAAC
rnacentral:sRNA from 1 species